ACAGCCAGCAGCGCAACCUGCCCGGGUCUACUUCCACACCGUAGAAGUUUUGUUCUUUUGCUCUUCACAACAAAUCUUAACUGCUGCUCACUCUUUGGGUCCACACCACCUUUAAGAGCUGUAACACUCACUGCAAGGGUCUGUGGCUUCAUUCUUGAAGUCAGCGAGACCACGAACCCACUGGAAGGAGCCAACUCCGGACACAGAGGGGAUGUCUUUCCCCCCUUAACCCUCAUAUCAUGUAGGAGAAAUUUGCAAUGAGGCAUGGCCCUAACACACUGAGGAUAAUUGUGACCAAUGGGAAAAUUUCCAGAAACUUUGUAAGAGGCCAAGUCUGUAGAAGAUAACGGGGAAGUCGAUUGCCUCAGAAAUUGGAGUGAGCUAACACAGAUAAGUCAUGUCUCAUUUUUUCAUUCUUUUAAAAUUUUGAUAAUUUAAGUGAAACAUGCCUACUUUUAAAAUUUUUGUUGUGCCUUCCUCCUGCUUGGUCCACAGUCUUUAUCUGAAAGAUCUUUAUUAGGUUAGAUGAGAGUUAUUAAUAAAUCCCCUACUGAAAUUUUUGCUUCAGAUAAAUAGAAACUAAUUUUAAUGGAUGGAAAAAAUGAGAAACUCCAUUUCAGUGAAUUAUAGGCUUUUAGAUGGCAUGGCAGAGCUGACCCUAGCAACCCAGCGGCAAAUAGACUUUAUGGUGGGAAGAAAGUUGUGCCACAAGGCUCCUUAAUAGGAUAGAAACUUCCCAAGGAGUGAGAGAUUUCAGGAAGGAGAAAGCGGAGAACAAUUGCUAGGAACUGAAGAUGGGAAAGAUAUCACAGCAGAUAAAGAGAUUUCCUCUUGACAUUACCUAGCAAUUGACAUUUGGUUGUGCAGGUUGUACACUGAGCAAAUUUAGAAGGCAUUGUUUAGAUGUGAAUUGUGUCUCCUAGAGGUCUGUACUACACAGUCUGUUGUAUCUCUUCAUCUCAUUUCACUGAUCUUAACAUGGUAAUCAUGGGGAUGCUGUGAGGACUAUGAAAAGUGAUUUUGCCACAUGCAGUGCCUACCUGGCAGGCAUCAGACAUGAGAGUGUGUGCCUGGCAACAGUGAGGAGGCUCAGUAGCUUGGAGUUCGUCAGGUUUAUGUGCACCAGGGACCCAAACCCUCUGGUAGUAAAAAAGGGGGAAAAGACAAGGAGAAUUGCUGGGGUGACUAUCUUUGUUUAUGGUGAUCAUGGCUAUUGUAAAUAGCAAUUCUUCCCCAUGUCAGUGGCUUCAUACAAUAUGAUUUCUUUGUCAGUCACAUAAGUUUGAAGUAGACUUUUCUCCAAGGUGGUGUCCUUCCAGAAGUCUGUCAGAGGCCCUGGUGCUUUCCAGCAUGUGGCUCUCACUUCUUCAGCAGGUGCCAGGGCUGCUGCAGGAGAAAGGGCAUGGAGGAUUGUUCCUGAACAAUCUGAACACCUGACCUCAAGUGAUACACCCGUCUUAGCCUCCCAAAAUGCUGGGAUGACAAGCAUGAGCCACCACGCCUGGCCCUCUUACUCUUUUUUAAAACCACACUGGGGAUAUAGAAACGUGUGACAUCUUUCAACUGUCUUUACCACAUUUGCAAAGUUUUUUCACCUUUUGUUUAGUUCUGUUUACUAACAGAUACAAAGUCUGAAAUUCUGUUGACCAUGUCUGCCUAGGACUGACAUCACGUUUCUUAAGUUCUAUUAGUCUAAUCACUGUCAUAUGGCCACAGCCAACUUCAAGGGAAGAAGAGAGAGGCAGACUGGCUGUCUGUCCAGGAGGAAGAGGAAAUUAACCUCUUGCGUAAUUUUGCCAACACCACCUGGAUGUCUUCUUUUAUGCUGGUACAACAAUAUAGCAGCAUCAUCCUUGAUGUGAGCCUUCUGGAUUCAGAAGCCAGACUGCAUCCAUACGGGAUGUUUCCUUUCUCUCCAAAGACUAGAAUAAAAGUAGUGACAGAGGUGGAAAGAUCACACACAUAAGGACACACGAUUUAAACCUAAGUGGAAAAUAUACUUAAGAAAUUAAAUUAUAGUAUUGUAUUUAUUUUUGAAUGUUUACUGUCUCAUAUAAUUUAUAAUUUGUCCUACUUAUUUAAUGGGAAAACAUCAUCUGUUUCAAAGAGUUUGGACAAAUAUUGAUUUAUUAAUCUAAAAGGAAGGAUUCAAUUGUAUUGGCUUUCCUGAUUCCUGAUCCAACUGGAAUCUAUAGGAAACAUCCAUUUGAUUCUCUCUCUCUCUCUGCUCCUAUUCUUUUUUUAAUUUUUAUUUUAUUUUUAGUUUUUGAGACAGACUCUUGUUCUGUUUCCAAGCUGGAGUGCAGUGGCAUGAUCUCAGCUCACUGCAACCUCUGCCUCCUGGGUUCAAGUGAUUCUCAUGCCUCAGCCUCCCAAGUAGCUAGGAUUACAGGCACACGCCACUGCACCUGGCUAAUUUUUGUGUUUUUAGUAGAGACAGGGUUUUGCUGUGUUGGCCAGGCUGGUCUCCAACACCUGACGUCAAGUGAUGCAUCCACCCUGGCCAAAGUGCUGGGAUGACAAGCAUGAGCCACCGCACCUGGCCCUCUUAGUCUAUUUUGAAACCACACUAGAGAUAGAGAAACAUGUGACAUCUUUCAACUGUCUUCACCACAUUUGCAAAUUUUUUUCAUCUUUUGUUUAGCUUUGUUUACUAACAGCUCUAAAGUCUGAAAUUCUUUUCUGUUUCACUGCACUCACCACAUUAAGCUUAAUACUCUGAAAAUACACACAGCUUUAUGGAAAUGUAUCUGACACCUCUGUGUUCUCCCCACACUUCAUUUACCUCUUUCUUUUGAAACUCUAGCAAAGAAACCCUUGCUAGGAAGUAGGAACCUGGGAUGUUUAGCCAGAGGGUCUUUUAAUUUUCUUCCCUUCCUUUUUCUUUCCUUCCCUUCCUUUUCUUCCUUUCUUCCCCCUCUUGUGCAUCCCCCUUUUUUUUCUCUCUCUUUUAGGGAAAAAGUAGACAGUGAUUUUUUUUCCUUUUUUUUUUUUUUUUUUGGCCUGAGAUAGAGUCUUGCUCUUGUCACCCAGGCUGGAGUGCAAUGGUGCGAUCUCCACUCACUGCAACCUCUGCCUCCUGGGUUCAAGUGAUUCUCCUGCCCCAGCCUCCCGAGUAGCUGGGAUUAUCUGCACCCGCCACCACACCAGGCUAAUUUUUUUGUAUUUUUAGCAGAGAUGGGGUUUUACCACGUUGGUCAGACUGGUCUCAAACUCCUGACCUCAGGUGAUCCACCCACUGUGGCCUCCCAAAGUGCUGGGAUUACAGGCAUGAGCCACUGUGCCCUGCCAACAGUGAUCUUUUAACUUGAGCACUGGGGAGCCUGGAUUUCUUGUUCAUGGGCUCUCACUGAUGAAUAUUAUUUGUGCUUUUAUUUAUGGUUUUCUUAAGCUUAAGACUGUGAUUUACAUAUCAACUGUGUGGCCAACUGCAUCUGUGCCACUACUUGCAGUUCUUGCAGUGGGCAUUGUGCCUAUGGUAUUGCUGGGGUUUUCUGCACCAUGAUAUGCCUUUGUCUCUGCUUGUCUUGCACAGCUUCUCUGCCAUCGUCAACUUUGAAUGUUUUAUUUAAAUUCCAUGUUUUUCCAUUAUCCUCUGCAGGAGCUUUCUUAAAGAAAUACAAUCGGAUAAAAGUUAAAGAACUUCUUAUUACGCUCCCAGUUAAACAGCUUCCGCACACCUUGGAAAGCUUUGCACCUUAUAGCACUCAGGUGUGUUAUGCUUUUAAUUAAAUGUGGUGUUUGCUGUCAUUUCUGUAAGUCCUCAAGCAGUAGACCCUUGGACCGACACAGAAUCCCAUUAAAGCCUUGCUUCCAUGGGAAAAUCAGAUUAUCCUCACCUCCUUUUGAACUACAAUGCCUUCCCCAGGAAUAUAAUUCAUGGUAAAUAUAAGGUCAUCUUGUACAUUUGGUAAUAGCUGCUCCUUCCUCUUCAGUGGUUAAGGUUAAAAUGCUGGGCUUGGUUCUUGGGGAGUGACUGCCCACGCCUACUGUUGGAAGUUCCUCCAUUAGUCAGGUUUGCCCUGGCCACUCUGAGAAGAUAGUGCUGGAAAAACUGCAGUCUUUCUCAUCUUACCUCCCCGACGUCUGAUCCUAGACUGACCUCUCAGAAAAGUGUUUGACCAACACUGUUCCAGCAGGUUUCCAUCUGCAUAAUAGCCUGGUGAUGUCUGGUAAGCACAAGCUGAGCGCACACCUUCUGGGGACUGAUGAGAUCUAGAAUAACCAAGAGAACGUAGACCUGCAUUUUCACUGAUUCCAUUGAACAGGCAUGGCCCCAACACUCCGCUUCUGUCUGAUACUCAUAAGGCACGCUCCAUUCUGAAGUUACCUUAGACGGCCAAACCUUUUAUAAAGUUGCUGUCUACUUCCUCUGGGGCAUAUACAGUUAAAGAUAUUGAACUUCUCUCACUAUUGUGUGCUAAGAUUCAAGGAUCAAAAAAGCAGUAAGACAGUGUAUUUGCCCUAAAGAAGCCCAUAUACCUAAGUGGUACUUAUAAAGGGGAGACAGACAUAAACACAAGGAUUUGUAAUACAGUGAGAAAAUAAAGUGAGAAAGGGCAUGUAAAGUGUAACUCAGAAUGUUCUCUAAAAGUCUGAACACAAUAGGUGUCUUCUGGAUGGACAAAAUGAACCCCAGUGUCACCAUCCUGUAUCUCUGGGGUUAGUCAAAGGAAAAUUCAGCUUGUAGGGUGGAGAGAAACUUUCUCUACUGUUAAACUGUAUUAUGAAAAUGUACCCAGUGGUGACAAUGACUUAAUUGUCUAACUUAGUCAUGGCCCCAUGGAUUAUCGUGAGGCUGCGGAGGGGCCACUGGCUGCUCCUGUUCUAACCCCAAGUAGAAAUUGGCAGAGCUGAUGACCGUCUGGGGGUGCAAACCCAGGAUGUACAUAUCUAGGCCAUGGUUUAACCUGGGUAAUCUCAUUCUACAUUCUUUUUAACCUAGAUAGUGGUCCUGUAAUACUUGUUACAGCCCUGGUUUAUACAACUAAAAAUAAGAAACUUUUUUUGUACUUUAGGGUCCAUUUGACUCAACCAUGUAAAAUAAAUUCUCACCUUAUAUUCACCCAAUCUCCUAGGACUCUUUCUUUAGAGCCUGUCACCUAUUGUAGCUGGCACUGUGUCUUACACAUUUGGGGGCCUCACUUAAUAACUGCCUAAUGAAUAGAUAGAUGAAUGAAUGGGUGAAUACAUUUAUCGGUGCCAAAUUUCCAUGUUCUCAUCUCUGUAAAAACCUAUUGCGCGCCUGUUUCUCUUUUUAGUCUGUGGCUCUCUCACAACUUGUUAGCUAGUUAUUUUCCAUUCAAAGUCAUGGGCAAGACAUCUAGUCUUUAAAAACAGAUUCAGCAAAAUUUUUUUCUCCUCUUUGUCGAAAUCUCAAAGAAAGAAGGAAGAGGAAGAGAAGAAUCUAAAUGUGGUGAUUAAACUGUGGCUCUGUCCUUCGUUUGCCUUGAAUAUGCUUGUUUUCUUUCCUUCUCCUUCUGAGUAGACACAUAAAGAAUCACAUUUGAGGGCUUUUUUUUUUUAAAUAUGGAUGAGUAACAUCUGUUUUAACCUGAACGAUUCAAUGUGUUUUUUAAGAAUCAUGUUUACAGAAUUAAUUUGGUUAUAAAUAUGAGAACAAAUUUAGGGUACAAAUUUAACUCAAUCUUUCCCUAAGGCAAGCUGAUUCAUAAAAUCUGAAAUAUUGUUUUGGCCAUGAAGUAAUGUUUCCUCAAGCUUAAUAAGUAAAUGGAAGGAGAAAACCUAAUAAAGCUCAAAUCCCCAGCAGCUAAAAAGUUAACACCUUAGUGAUGGAGAGCCAAAAUAAGAAUGGAUGGAGUCGCGCCAGCACACAAGAGGUCCCAAACCUGCUAAACCUCUUUCUUAAAAUUGGAACUCUUUUCUUUCAAGUUAUUCAACCUUUCACCUAAUAGGUCCCUUUUGCUGACCCUUGAACUAUGGUUAUUUGUAUAGCAUUGUGGUAAUAGAGUUUGGAAAUCUGAAAAACAUUAAGUUAAAUGCAAGGGUGUUGAGAAGGUGAAAUUCUUUAAGUGAGCUGAAGAAAUUCUAGCUGGAAGAUUUAAACAUGUUUCCCCAUAGGAGUAAGGGAUAAGAAAAAUAUUGUGCGUCUUUAGAAACAUUAUCAAAGUGUUUUAAGUAAAUAAAAAGGAAGAAUAUUAUUGACAACACAAAUAUGUGAAGAGUGAGGAAAAGUAACGUUCUCUUCAGCAGCUAUUUUUAAAAUUUUAAAAAAAUAAAAACUUAGACCAAUCAAAAUUUUAAUUGAUAUGAAAUAUAUUGCCAAUAACACCAAUACUAAAAAAAAAGUUACUGUUUUUUCAAGUGACAAUUCCCAAUCUGUAACAUGACUAAAUGAGGAAGGCACAAGAUUCCCAGAGAAGUUUUUUUUUCUUUGCGGGACUUAGUUUGAUGGUGUUGUUUUAUCAUUUCUUCAAAUGGGUUAAGGAGAAGAAAAUGAGGACAUGAAAUUGUGACUUCUUUGAAAUAAUACUAAAAGUAUGCAAGUGUCAGUUGUUUUGACUACCCCAAAAUAUCAUGAUCUAAAGUGAAAAAACUUGAGUCAAAGUGUCUUUUUAUUUAUAAUAUCAUCAUCAUCAUCAUCAUCAUCAUCAUCAUCAUCAUCUUCGUCAUCAUCAUCAUCUAGAUUUUGGCCCUAUCUUUCACAUUUUUAGCUGUAGGUACCAGUGGUUUUGCUUCUGCCAGAAUUUUGGUGCUGACUUUUCUGUAUUAUUUGUGAUUGUUUAGAAUUUAAUAUCUAGUUGACAAGAGAAGAGCUUCUAAUUUUUUAGUUGGGAAAUGGGGAUUGGCAGAUAACAAGGGUUAAAAUCAACGAGUGUAUUAUAAUCUUGAGUGACAGUAAUAAAAGUGAAUAUUAUAACACCUCUUGAAGGAUCAGCUUUAGAUAUGGAUUUCUGGAAAAAUUUGAGAGAUUGAAAAGUGUUUCUAAGCACGACAACCGUAACCACAUCUCCCUCUCCGCUAUCUUCAUACCUACCUACCUUCUCACAGACUUGCUUUGUGCCUGCAUUACGCAGUUCAUUCAUUUAUUCAUUCAACAAACAUUUUUUGAGCAUAUAUUUUAUGACUGGUCCUGUGCAAAACCCCAGAAGGAAGAUUGAAAGACAAAGACAAACCCCAGGAGGAAGAUUGAAAGACAAAGCUCUCACAUAAUUUUGGAUUAAGGCACUGAAGACUUUGGAUAAAUGCAAAAUCUGAUAGAUAAAACACUGCUCACUCUAAGUAGUUUGGAUCUGUAUGGUUUUUUAGUAGCAAUAACACUGAACCUGAAAUGAUGACACUUGGGUUUGAAGCCUACAUUCUAGAGCUAGGUUGGUCACUGACUAUCUGGUUAAGAACCUAGGAUGGGCCAGUCCACUUCCCUCUCUCCCACACUCCAACCCAGUGAUUGAUUCUGGGCUCACCAAGUCUUACCUCUAAAAGGACGAUUGGAAACACGAAGUCAUUCUGGCUCUCCUUAACGCUGUCUUUCUCAUAGUUGCAUUCCCAGAAUAUCAAGUGUGAAUCUCCAGUAUAGUAAGGAGCGUACUAGGUGAGAUAUUUGCUAAUGUAUCAUUUUCUCCCAUGUUCUUCUCAUCUUCCUGCCCCCAGCUUCUAAUAUAAUGCCUGGAACAUGGUAUAUGCCAAUAAAUAUUUGAAGCAAUGAGUGAAAGUAACAACUAUAAUAGAAAGGAACUCUAGAAACUGAUAGAAACAAUAUGAAUCCGGCAGUGAUUAUAAUCUCACCUAAAGAAUAUGCAUUAUAUACUUUGCAUAUUUUAUUAUAUAACAGAAAUAUUCCGUGUUGGUGACAUUUAAUACGAGAGGCAGUUUUCUCCUGCCAUAUGGCAGUGUAAGCCUAUCAGAGUACGUUUUACAGUUUGUUGGGGGACGUGUCAAAUCAGAGAAGAACUAAUGUAUGCCCACCCAGUCACCACUGGCAUAUUCAGGAACAAAUGUCUCCUUUCCAGGUUCCCACUGUACAGUUGAUUCAUUGACACAUUAUCAGUUGCCUUCAUGACAACAAAUAAUCUAAAACUUGUUUGAUCAUUGUGUAAAACUCCCAGAUCAUUAUGUCUACUGACAUUAAACAUCUAGGUCUCUUCAGGUAUUGAUUACAUUACUGUUUCUACACGCGGAAUUAGUUGAACCAUUUUUACACAUCCCUCCAGUGAGUUUAUUUGGUUAAACAAGCAGGUAUAAGUCAUCUAAGAGAUUAAUUCAUCCAGUGUGCUUUAUAUAAUGUGUACCCAAUAAAUGUUUCUUGAAUGUUUUUAUUGAGUUAAUGAAUUUGGAUAAACUCCUAAGUAUGAGUGUCUGAAUAUUACAAAUUCCGUGAGAAAGGGAGACUGGGUUGUCAACUGACUACAGAGAAACUCUUCAAAGAACAACCUCCAUGCAUCAGCAUGGGGCAAACGGUUGUAUGUUGAAGUGAUGCGUGUGUUAAUAUAGCAACCCAUGAAUGUAGAUAUUAACCAAAAAUAUAGAAUUAGAACCUCCUAACACUUUUUAGGUGUAUGCAUUACUUAUGCAGAUCUUUGCCUACUCUAAGAAGAUACAGUCCUUGUCUUCAUGUUUUCAUUUAUUUUAUGAGCUUCUUUUUGGGUUGGAUUUUGUAGGGCUGAUCAAAGGAGAAAUACUGUUUUGAACUCCACACAAACUUCAUGAGUUAACACUUUUGAAAGAGAGGCAUAUCAUAUGCUCUGAUAGUGUUAGUCAAUACAAGCUGUAAAGGGAAACUUUUCAAUAAAUCAUAGUGACUGACUGCAACAUUUCUUAAUGUAUUUCUGUGAUCCUUCUUAAGAAAAGUAUAUACAUAGGCAUGCAGUUAUCAAAUGCACACACUUUAUUAUUAUUCAAAAAAAUCUUUACUAUCCACGUUAUUUUCUUAUACUUUUUGUUCAGAUCAGGAAACAACAUUGACUAGAUUGAUGUGUUUAUUGUAUUAGAAUGAUAUUCAAGAAAUGGAAAUUUAAAUGUUAACAUGUUUAUUGACAGUUGUACUUUAGUAAAAGGCAUGCAUGAUUCUAUUUAUGGAUUUAUUGAGGGUAAAUUAAGGGCAAGUAUAGUUUUUCUUUCUUAGAUGAAAAAAAGUUCAGCCUAUGUUUUAAAGAACCAGCUGUCUACCCACUUUCCUCAUGGGGUUUUAAAAAUGUAGAACCAAAGAAUUUCAUUGAUCCUAUUUUGCAUCCCCAAGGAUUUGCUUCUCUCUGUCCUUUCCCAAGUGUUUGUCAUUUCCCAUGAAGCUAUAUCCAACUUUUAAGUACAUAGAGUUCCUUUCUUGCUUAAUCCCAUCAUGAGCCUAGAACUAUUCUUAGCCAGAGUCAGGCUUUCUUGUAAUGACUGAUGUUAUAUUUUUCCCUGUAAAUCAGUAUCAUUAGAGAUUAUGACCAAAAUUAUAUCAAAGCAUUCUACAGCUCACUGAUCUUUAGAGGGCCAGUUCUUAGUUAUAAUUUUUUAAAGGAAUCAAUUCCAGUCCAAAACAGAAUUAUAACCUCCUCACCCCACCUCCUAGUUUUCUUAUAGUAUUUUUACCCUCAUUUCAGUUUCAUGGGUAUGGAGUCUCAGAGAUCCUCUUUCUUUUCUAUAUAUCUCUUAGCCUCAGUGUUUACUUUGUCACUGAUUCCUAUCAAUAAACCUUGGUCAUUUGUUUUCGUUUGUCAUAUGCUUUUCCUUCCCACCGAGAAGGCUCAGGUUCAGAUCCACCUGAUGCUCUUCUGUUCACACUAAUCUCUUAAUUGAAUUCUCAAGUCUUGCCCUUCUGUAGGCAGCUCUCCACACAGCUCCCUAAAAUACAGCUUGGAAAUUCUCAUUUUUCCCAAGCACAAUUCAAGAAACGCUUUGGAUCCCACAACAUAAAUAACAAAAGCCACAUUCUUAACUUUUGACCUCGUGACACAGUAUGACUCCUGCAUAAACCAUCUGCACCUCCUUUUCCUGGUCCCUCACCCAGCACCAGUUCAUUUUCCUUCUCUCAUAUGAAUGGGGUUUGCUAAAUGGUGGAGAAUGGGAGAUGCUUGUCCAUAACCAUCCCUCCUAUGUGGAAGACUCCUUCAAUAGAAAAUUCAACUAUAGGAAAUAUUAAGGGUUUUGGGGUCAGCAAGUCUAGAUUUGAAUCCCACGUCCUGUCCUCUUCGAGUCAUACCAGUUUAAACACCUUAACUGGAAGAUGGAGAUAAUCUAGCCUUUGACAUAUAAAAUAGAUGUCCAUGUGAAAGUAUGUGCUGGAAGAAUGGGGACAAUUAUUAAUGAGUAUUAUUUAGGUCAUAAUCAGGUUGAAAAGUUGUUUCCAGUUCUGUUCUUAACCCUGAUGUGACAGUCUAAGCAGCUGUGUUCAAUGGGCUGGGUCCAGUCACCUUAAGGCCAGUUCUUCAGAGAGGGUCAAAGCUUGUGUUUCGGCUUCCCUGAGGGCCCCCAGCUUAGCAAGAGUCUUGCUGGCAGGUGGAGUUGCCAUGCCUGGCAAUUGUUCUCACUGACAAAUACCUUCUCAUUAGUUUCUUCUAAAUAGCAUCUCACUUCAGAUUUGCUCAAAAGAGCAGAUCAAAGAAAGUGUGUGAACUUCGGCCUGGGUGUGAGAUUGAAGAAGGAAGGGCAAUGACAAAGUGAAACUCAUUUUCCAAAGCGAUUUUGUCAGGACUGAAUACUUGUGAAAAAAGAUCUUCUUCAUUUUUUUUUAUUUCCCUUCCAUUCAUUAAAGUCUGUGUUGCAACCUGACAAGAAACUAAUGAAAAACUGAACAGGAUAACUCUUUUUAAUACUUCCUAUGAAUAUAGGAAAAUAUCUUGAAAUUAAUCAAAGUAAGGUGAGUAAUUUAAUCAGAACACAUAAUAAAUAUGUAACUCUGGUUAUGCUAAGAACCCAUGGAUAAAUAUAUUAGUCUCCACUUACAUCAAGUGAAUAAUAAUAUUAACAACAAUAACAGUACUUGACACACCAGCACAUUUGGUCCUCAUGGCCACCCUACCCAAGAAAUAGACCAGGAAUCAUGUUUUUAAAAACAAAGAUGGCACUUUCCCCAAACAUCAGUCUCUUCAUUGUGGAUUGAAAAAAUAAUUUUUGAUUUACAGCAGCUACAUACAAGAGUCCUGAUUUUGAAUAAUUGCUUUCUUUUGAGUAAAUCAAUUUUAAAAAGCAUAUCAAAUAUGAUGUUUUAUAGACAUAUGUAACAUUUUUAUUAUGGGGAAAAUGUAAAGUAGUUCCUGUUCAAGGGAAAAGGUUUAGAAAAUACACAUUAUGAAAAUAUGAGCUAAAAAUGUUUGCUUACUACUCGUAGAACUCUUGUUCAAUUAUUGAUGCAUUUCCUUUUGUUGCAUUUUCUGCUAUAUAUUUGUGUAUAUAUUUGAAAUUAUAGUUUUACAUGACUCCUUUGAUUCCAUUUAAUAUCAUAGCAUGAUGUAUUAUAAUGUCUUUAAUAAUCUGUGAAAACAAGAUUUUUGACAGCUUCUUGACAUAGCAUAAUAAUGUAAUUAGCUAAUCUUUUUGAAAUGAAAAUCUAGGUUUUUGACAAAAAAGUAUUUUUACUAUGAUGAAGUUUUCCAGUUGUUUUCAACUUUAAUUUACCUUUAAUUAAAGAGGAAACUUUCUCAAAAGCACAACUAUUAUGUCAGAAGAUAUAAAUGUUUCAACAACUUUUUACAUAUUUCCUCCAAGAACAGUUUUAUUUAAACAAAUUCAUAAUUCAUAAUCACUACAAUAUCUUCAGAAAGUGUCUUGAACAGAUAGUGUAUAUACAGUUUUCAUUCCAAAGUUACACGUAUAGAAAAAGAAGCAAAUAAUUAUUCAAAUAAAUGUAUAUGUUUGAUCAUCACUGCUGCCUGAGGACCCGGCACUCCUGUAAGUCAUCCUGUAUGUUAUAAUUAUAACCCAUACCAGAAGAGGAAAAACUAGACAACUUCCCUGGGGGAUUAGUCGGCACAUAGUUUGUACAUUACCUCUAAAGAGGAAAUUGAGUACCAGGUGAGGUCUGGGUGAUAUAAUGCAGCUCAAGGGCCCUCAUCUUUUAUUCCCACGUCUUUCUUGGCCUCCCGGUGACCAAAGUGCCCCUCAUCCUCCAAGCUCAUCAGUUCCUUGGGACCUGCGUUGGAUCCCCUUUUCUGUGCACUUUAUCCUACUCAUUACAGUGCAUUCCACUUAGGAACUAUUGGAGAUCCAUAAUUUUGUCUGGUUCUAUUUUUUAAUACCAAGCUCAAACUGCCUGUCUGCAUUAAAAUGAGUGUUCAGGAAACUGUGUUAAAUGAAUGAAUGUACUUUCUAAGUUAUUAGUGAAUGGAAAAAUUUUAAAUGACCAAACUGCAUUGAUGAAAAUUUCUCAACUCUAGUAGAGCCCCUGAUUAUACUGUGUUUAUCCUGAAAAGCCUUAAUAGGCACAAAAAGGACUCAAUAUAUUGCAAUCAUGCUUCCUUAGGUAUCCAUAGCAUUUCUCCUUUUUCUCUAUUUUUUUAAAAAAUGAAUGUUUUAUUAAUAAAGGUGGCGUUUUUAACUGCUAAUGUCCUGCUUUUUCUGUUUUAAUGAGAAAAUGGAAUAUGUUGAAAAGGAAAGGUUUUAGGCACUUUUUCUGGUUAACAAUAGAAAAGUAUAGCUUGCUUUUUUAUUUGUGUGUGAAGGAUAUUAUUUAGGAAAUCAGCUUAGUGUCCAGGAAGCCUUCUCAUGAACACUAUCUGGUAGGGUCACCAUGGUUAAGUAUUUGGUCGUCAGUUAAAUUAUUUUUUAAUUAAAAUUUUUCUUUUAAGUUAGUUAUGCAUUUACUUCUUUAUUAAGUGGAAAAAAAUAAAGUGAGUGCUUCAUGAGACUGGCCAAGGGAAAAACACACAAUAGUUUAUCCUUUGCUUGGAGAGAGUGAGCGUAAUAUUAAUUGAGAAUAGUUUUAGAUCUAUAGAAAAAUUCAAAAGAUAGUGCAGAGAGCUCCCAUGUAUCCUGCCUCUAUUUUCCCCUGUUAUUCAUGUUUUACAUUAGUGUGAUACACUUGUCACAAUUAAUAAGCCAAUAUUGAUACAUUAUUAUUAAGAAAAAGUAUACAUUAUCAGAUUUUAUCCAAUGUCCUUCUUAUACCAUAUUACAUUUAAUUGUCAUGUCUCUAGGCUUUUCAUGGCUGGGACAUUUUCUUAGAUUUUCCUCUUUUCAAUGACCUCGAAGAUUUGAGAAGUACUUGUCAGAUACUUUGUAGAAUUCUCCUCAACUGAGAUUUGCCUGAUGUUAUUCUUACUAUUCCACUGGAAUUAUAGUUUUUAGAAGGAAUACUACAGAGAUGAAGUGCCAUUCUCAUCAUGUCAUAUCAAAGAUAUCUGCUAUCAACAUGACUUGUCAGGUUUUUCCUCUGUAUAAUUGUUAUUUUUCUCCUCUUUCUAUUUUUCUCACUCUUUGGAAGACAAUAUUGUGCAUAGCACAAUAGUUCACACACUAAAGGUGUGAAGAGUUAGAAUCCAUCUCUUUGAGUGUGGAUUCUUACGUACAUUAUUUGGAAUUUUUUGCAUAGGAAAUUUGUAUCUAUCUAAUUCCCACAUCAUUUGUUGAAAAAAUUUUCCUUUCUCCAUUGAAUUUCCUUUGCAGCAUUGUCAAAAGUCAGUUGACCAUAUUUGUAUGGGUCUCUUUCUGGGCUGUCUAUUCUGUUUUCAUUGCUCUAUGCAUCUGUUCUUUCACCAAUACCAUGCUUGCUUGAAUACUGCAGCAGCAUUUAUUAAGUUUUGAAAUCUGAUAGUGUGAGUCAUCCAACUUUGUUUUUCUUUUUCAGAAUUAUGUUGGUUGUUGCAGGUCUUUUGCCUUUUCACAGAAAGUUUAGAUGCAGGUUCUCAAUAUUUCUGUAAUAGUCUGAUGGAAUUUUGAUUGUUGAUUGAGAUUGUGUAGAAUCCCUAAAUCAAAUUGGGAAGAAUUUAUAUUAUUGAAUUAAAUCUUCCAAUCCAUGAAUAUGUAUUAUCUAUCCACAUACUUAGAUGUUCUUUGAUUUCUUUCAUCGUGUUUUGCUCUUCUCUAUAUAUGGGCCUUGUAUCAUAUUUUGUUAGUCUUGAUUGCUUUUUUGUAUUUGUGCUAUUGUAAAUUAUAUUUUUUAUAAAUUUCAAAUUCCAAUUGUUCAAUGUUGAUAUGUAGAAAAGAAAUUUAGUCUUAUAUAUUGAUCUUAGAUCUUACGAUCUUGCUAUUCUUGCUUAUUAGCUCCAAGAGAUAGUGUUUUAUGGAUUUUUUUUUUUAGAUUUGUUGGAUUUUUCCACAUAGAUGAUCCUGUCAUCUGCAAAUAAGACAGUUUUACUUGUUUAUUUAUUUAUUUUUAAUAUUACUAAGUUUUUUUUUUUUGAGACAGAGUCUCGUUCUGUCACCCAGCGUGUGUUCAUAGCUCAUUGCAGUCUUGAACUCUUGAGCUCAAGGUAUUAUUCUGCCUCAGCCUCCUGAGAUGCUAGGAUAAGAGGUACAUGCCACCAUGCCCAGCUAAGUUUUCCUUUGUAAAAUUUUGGUAGAGAUAAAAUUUUGCUAUGCUGUCAAGGCUGGUCUCAAACUCCUGGUCUCAAGUGAUCUUCUGCUUUGGACUCCGAAAGUGUUGGGAUUACAAGCGUGAGCCACUACACCCAAUUCCUUUCCUAUUUUUAUACUGUUCUUUUUUUCCCCCUUUUUCUUAUUGCUGUAGCUAGGACUUCCAGUAUAAUAUUGAACAGGAGGGGUGAGAGAGGACAUACUUGCCAUGCUCCUGAUCUCAAAGGGGAAAAUGUCUAGUCUUUUACCACUAUGUAUGAUGUUAGUUCUGAAUUUUUGUAGAUUUAAAAAAUCAAAUUAGUUUUGCUAAUCCUGUUUACUGUGAGUUUUUAUCAUGAAUUUUGUUGGAUUUUGUCAAAUGCUUCCUCUGCAUAAAUUUAUAUGAUCAUAUGAUUUUCCUUCCUUAGCCUAUUUAUGUCAUGAAUUGAUUUUCAAAUGUUGAAAAUCAUUCAAUACAGCCUUGCAUUCCUAAAAUACAUCCCAUUUGGUUGCAAUGUAUAAUUAUUUUAUACAUUGUUGAAUUUAAUUUGCUUAUAUAUUCUUGAUUUGUGCCCAUUUCCAUGAGAGAUAUUGGUCUGUCAUUUUCCUAUGCUGUACUGUCUUUCUCUGGUUUUGGGAUUAGGAUGAUGGUAAUUACCUAGUUAGGGUAAUGCUGACAUUAAAGAAUAAAGUCGGGAGGUAUUCCUUCUGCUUCUAUUUUCUAGAAAGGAUUGCGGAUAAUUGGUAUUGUUUCCUUUUGAAUAUUAUAUAGAAUUUGCCAGUAAAACCAUUUGGGCCUGGUGCUUUUUCUUUGAGGCUAUUAAUUAUUGAUUGAAUUUAUUUAAUAAAUGUAGAGAUAUUCACACACUCCAUUUAUUUCUUUUAGUAGGAGAUUUCACAGUUUGUGCCUUUCAGUGAAUCAGUCUUGUCAUCUAGGGUAGGAAAUUUGUGAGCAUAGAUGUUCUCAUUCUGUUCCUUUGUUAAUCUUUUAAUGCCCAUAUAAUAUGUAGUAAUAAUACCUCUUUCAUUUCUGAUAUUGGUAAUUAGUGUCAUUUCUCUUUAGUUCUUGGUUAGCUUGGCUAGAGGUUUCUCUAUUUAUCAAACUUUUCAAAGAACCAACCAGUUCUUUAUUCAGUUAAUUUUCUUUUUCUUUUUCUGUUUUCAUUUUCACUGAUUUUUGUUACAAGUUUUAUUUCUUUUCUUCUACUUGCUUAAAUUGUUCUUCUUUCUCUAGUUUCCUAAAAUGGAAGCUGAGGUUAUUAACUUUUAGUAUUUCUCCUUUUCUAAUACAUUCCUAAUACAUUGAAUACUAUAAAUUUGCCUCAUGCAUUGCUUUUACUAUACACAAACUUUGGUAAGUUGUAUUUUUAUUUUCAUAUAGUUUAAAUAAUGUUUUAGUUUCUCAUGACUUCUUUUGACAUAUGGGUUUCUAAAAAUCUAUGGAUUUGGUUUUGUGGUUUAAUUCUCAAAUACUGAUUUCUAUUGUUAUUAAUUCUACUUUAAUUACAUUGUGGCCUGAGAACAUAGUUUGUAUGAUUUCUGUUCUUUUAAAUUUGUUAAUAUGGGUCAUCAGUUUUUUAAGCCAAAAUUCAUGUAGUAUCAGUAUUAUACUCAGUUUCAGCUUCUAAGGUUUGAGUAACUCUAACCAUACUUAUAAAAUGGCAUAUUAAACAUAAUGCCCAGUUAUUGAAUUAAUAAAAAUUGUAAUAGCCAAGCAGAUUGUCAUUGCUGGCAUUUGCCGCAGGAGGGCAUUAUAGAAAGUCAGUGUGGCUUGCUUAAUGUGGAGAUUGAGCCUAAAGACAUGGCAGGGUACGCUCUGUGAAUUGAGUCUCUAAUAUCAAGAAGCAAGGAAGCCAUGAUUGUAUCUUUAGUCUUCUAACUCAUCAGUGGGGAAUGUUAUGGGUUAGAGGAUCAAAAAUUCUGUGUAAGGACUUGAACUGAUUUUGGAAGUUAUAAAUAAUAAUUUGGCCCUCAAGCUGUGAGCCUGGGAUGUUCCUCACCCUAAAAAAAAAUAAAUGAUUCUGGUACAUUAGUAGGAGUCAGUGAGGAUACCUUCCUCAUAAUAGAUCAAGAGACAUCUGAUCCUGUAUUUUUGUUUCACCUUUCUUCAGUUCUAGUUGAUUAUUACAUUUUAAUCAUGUCUUCCUUGCCUCUGCCUUGUGCUCUUUCAUGUGACUGGCAACUCAAACUUGCUGACUUUCCCUGAACACCUUUUGUGCCUCCACGCUUUUGUUUUAUCUGUUCUACUGGGAUAUUAUACACAUCCUUGUGGGUUCAAUUCUUACAUCUUACUUAAGACAUAAGUCAAAUAAUCCUCCAAGCUCCCACAAAAGUUGGUUAGCACCUAUGUCAUGACACAUUCUAUUUAAUAUCUUGUAUAUUUAUCUGCAUACUGCCUAAUCUACUCUAGUAGAAUGAAAACUCAGGUAUAUAGGUAUUUAAAAGUCUUAUUAGGUAAAUAAGUAAAUUAGGGCACUGUGUGAUUAUGAUUUACUUAAUAAUAAGUGAACAGCUAUGCGACGUAGUUAAAUAUACAGUUUAAAGUGUGAUAGUCCUGUGUCUUCCUGAUGGGAUCAGUAAUAACAGGAUCAGAGUUGUGUCCAAGUUAGUUGAUACUAAAGAAAUAGUGGGUACAGAUAAGACAAAAUAAAAUGAACCUGAGGGAGAAGGAGGAAAAGUUUUGACAUGUGCUGAUGGAGAGUUGAAGCUCAGGUUAGGACACCUGAAUGAGAGGCCAUUUGCCUAAGAGGAAAAAAAAAAUCCUAACAGUAACAUAGUAACGUUUUUAGCCAAGUGCAGUGGGGAGUACCGCUAAUGACAUUAACCUGUAAAAAGUUUGUGUUAAAGUGGUACAUUUGGGAAAACUAGGGACACUAUCCUUCAGGGAAUGCAUUUUUAGUAAACUGACCUAAAGCCAUUGUCCUUUCAGUGAUCUAAUAGUGAAACCAUUUUGAUGGCAACAAAUGGCUUAUUAGGCUGGAGAAACUUUAUUUCCUGAGACUUUUCUUCUCCAGAGGUGAUAUGAAGAAGAAUGCCAAGUUGGCUUCAAUCGGCUCUUUAAGAUAAAAAAGAUGGAGACAUGAUCAGAUCUUUAUUUUAAUACACUGAAAUAAGGAAGUCUCUUAGAGUUAGAAUAGAAAUCCUAAGGAUGUGAGCUAAUUGUGGAAAUCUUAAAUGGUAAUUAAGUCCUCACAUUGUGGCUCUGGAAAGUUCAGCCAAAUAUAAGGGGAUGACUUAUAUACAGCCUGUACCCAGCAAAAUAAUACAUCUUCCUACAGUCAUGGUUAUGCAAUUGAUCUCUGUGCAGUUAUUUAGAGGAGUGGAUUUCAAACUUAGCUGAUCACAAAUCACCUGCUUAAAAAUAGGCAAAGAGGUUGAAUGGGUAUUUCUCAAAAGAAGACAUACUCAUGAUCAACAAAUACAAGAAAAAGUGCUCAACAUCACUACUCAUCAGAUUAUCUAAGUGCACAUUAAAAGCAGGGUGAGACGCCACCUCAUUCCAGUUCAAAUAGCUAUUAUAAAAAAGAUGAAAGAUAACAAGUGUUGGAGAGAAUGUGGAGAAAAGGGAACACUUAUAUACUGUUGGUGGGAAUGUAAGUUACUAUAGUCAUUACAGAAAACGGUUUGGAGGUUCUGAAAAAAUUAAAAGUAGAACUACUGUAUGAUCCAAUAAUCUUACUUCUGGGUAAAUAUCUAAAGGAUAUGAAAUCAGUAUGUUGAAGAGAUAUCAGCACCCCAUGUUUAUUGCAGCAGUAUUUACAACAGCCAAGAUCAUGGAAUCAACGUAAGUAUCUAUCAGUGAAUGAACGGUUGAAGAAAAUGUGACAUAUAACCACAGUGAAAUGUUACCCAGUCAUGAGAAAAAAUAAAAUCCUGUCAUUGUCAACAACAUGGAUGGAACUGGAGGACAUUGUGUUAAGGGAAAUAAGCCAGGCAAAGAAAGACAAAUACUGCAUGAUCUCACUUCUAGGUGGAAUCUAAAAAAGUGUAACUUCGAAGCAGAGAAUAGAAUGGUGAUUACCAGGGGCUGGGAUGGGGGUGGUAGGAGAUUGGAGAUAUAUUUGGUCAGAAAGACACAAAAUUUCAGUUAGAUAGGAGGAAUAAUUUCAAGAGAUAUAUUGUAGAGCAUGUUGACUGUAGUUAAUAAUGUACCAUAUUGCGUUUUUUGAAAAACAGUAAAUUUUAAGUGUUCUCACCACAAAAAAUAAGCAAGUAAGAUAACACAUAUGUUAAUUACCUAGGUUUAGCCAUUCCACAGGUAUACAUAUUUCAAAACCUCUUUUUGCACACCAUUAAUGUGUGCUUUAGUAUAAUUAAUAAAUUAAUUUCAAAAAGAAUCACCUGGAUAAUGUAUAAAGUACAUAAAUUCUCUAGAAAAAUCCACAGAUAUAAUUAUUUAAUAAAAAUGGGAUCUGGCCCAGAAAUAUGCAUGUUUUAGAAAUGAGCAAGUGUUUCUGAUGAUCAGCCAAGUUUGAGAAGUCCUGAGUUAGAUGCCAUCGAAGAAGCAAGGGAACAUAACCUUCAGUGUUUGGGUGUUUGUACAUAAAAUCUUAAGAACCUAGAUGAAAGCAAUGGAAAGUCAUAAUAGAAAUUAGGAAGAGGUAUCAUCUCUGGGCUGCCUUGUCCAGUAAUAGAGAUUCUGAGCAUAAAUAAUUUCUUUAUUCUCUCAGCUUAUAUUUUUUAAUACUAUUAUCUAGAAAACAGUAUCUCCAGUAUUUAGUCAAUGCCCUGAUCACUUCCUCGCCGCCAACAACAACAACAAAACGAAACAGAUAAGGAGCAAAAAGGGAAGGAAAGAAAAAGCAAGGAAGCGAGAGCAUUUCUAUUCAUUAACAUAUUUUCUAAGCAAAUGGAAAUAUUCCUAUUUUUAAUUUUGUAUCUUACUAAAGUCAAUUUAAUGCAAGAAAUGUGGCGUUAGCAAAGCCUAAUAUAAGGCCAUUUUUAAAAAGUUUUGAUAAGACGAUAUGAAUCAAAUUUUUUUCCAAACCCGCACUAUGUUGGAGAGCAUAGCUUGUUCCUUAGUUCUUCUUUGAAUUUCUUAAAAUGGUGAAAGAGAAGCCGGGCGCAGUGGCUCACACCUGUAAUGCAAGCACUUUGGGAGGCCGAGGCAGGUGGAUCACCUGAGGUCAGGAGUUAGAGACCAGCCUCACCAACAUCGAGAAACCCUGUCUCUACUAAAAAUACAAAAUUAGCUGGGUGUGGUGGCACAUGCCUGUAAUUCCAGCUACUAGGCAGGCUGAGGUAGGAGAAUCAUUUGAACCCGGGAGGUGGAGGUUGUGGUGAACCAAGAUCGCGCCAUUGCACUCCAGCCUGGGCAAUAAGAGCAAAACAAACAAACAAACAAAAAAAAAAAAAGAAAGAGAGAGAGAGAGACAGAAAGAAAAAGAAAAAGAGAAAGAAAAGAAAGAAAAAGAAAGAGAAAGAAAGAAAAGAAAGAAAGAAGGAAGGAAGGAAAGAAAGAAAGAGAAAGAAGGAAGGAAGGAAAGAAAGA
rnacentral:lncRNA from 1 species